ACUCACAUCAAAGUCCAAAUGCUCGGAAACAUAUUUCAUUAAAAAGGUGGUGCUCUUGACAGCUCUUUCACGCUCAUAGAUUUUUGUGGAGUCAAUCCAGCCAUUUGUGUGCUGCGGGAGAGAAAUCAUCAUCAUCACAUGGAAGGACAACCAUUAAUCCGGGGACUCCAGGCAGCUUACAAACAAAAUAAGAACAACUUGAGAUAUAGAAAAAAGAAGCCAUUAAAUGAAACACAUUGAA